GCGGGGCCUGCCGCCGCCACCGCCUCAGGGAAGAGGAAGGAGGCCGCGGCUUCGCGUCCCGCCUCUCGCCUGGCUGGCCGUGGGGGGCCUGGACGCAGUGGCCUCCCGAAUCUCCCAGGACCCUAAUAUCGCCCGAGGAUGCUGGGAGGAACGCUGAGCCGACCUCUCCGUUAGGCUGAAGAUUGCACAAACCAUGCUAAUGGCCAGCAUGGAUGGAGGGAGCGUGUGAGAUGUGUGGGGCAGCGUGCUGCAUCUCAGCCAACUCCAGGAGCCAGUUGAUGUGAUGGACUACCUUAAUUGAUUUUUGAAUGUUGAGCCAGCCUUAUGCAUGUGGGAUAAACCCCUGUUGAUCAUGGCUGGCUGGAGUGCAGUGGUGCAAUCAUGGCUCACUGCAACCUCAAAUUCCUGGGCUCAAGGGAUCCUCCUGCCUCAGCCUCCCAAGUAGCUAGGACUACAGGAAGCAUGCUCAUGGCAAUACCCGGAGUCUCCACUGCAAGACCAGAGUGACGGAGGCAGCAGAGCUCCUCAGCAGGCCAGGAGUCUCCAGAGGCACUGCCGAAUGUCUAAGAAGCAACCUCAUUGUAUUCCCAAGACCUGGGAAUCCAGGUCUCGCAGAUACGAUGAUACAAUCUAUAGCCAGGACAUCUCUUCAUGUGUAGUUUUCAAUGAAUACUAGGAUAAGCAACUAUCCCAGUCUUCCCAGGAUUGAGGGGCUUCUCCAGAUGCUGCACUUCUGGUGCUAAAAAUGAGAAACUGAAAUGAAUUAGUCACCCAAGGAAUGCUGACCCUGUGCUAUAUGAUCACAUUUACUCUUUAAAGCAAUGCUUUGAGACAUGAAAGCCAGAUAGGGAAGAAUUUGCAGCCUCAUACUGAUUGGCCAGUUGAGGAGUCAACUCAUCUCUCUUAUAGAAAAAAGAAGAUUACAUUUACGGAAUACAGAAUAUACUGUGCUCUCUACUUACCAAGAGAUUUCUUUCUCUACUGACAACUUUCUGUUGACGUGGUUACUGUGCAGGUUCUGACAGUCGAUUCUUUCCACCUAGUUCACUGCUGAAGCUAUAAUGAUUUCCAUUUUGCAAAAAGAGGAUGAUUACUUAUUAUCUGUGACCAUUUCUCAAUUCCAGAACAAUUGAGCUGCAUAGUCCCUGCAAUCUUAUAAAGGCAUUUGGCCUGGAAGAUGCUCUGCAGCCAUGUGCCAAGAAUAACGGCUAUAGGGACAAUGUUUCAUUAACCCCAAAGCAGCAACCUGAACCUCUUACUGUACAAUAUCUGCUCCGUUCAGAAUUAGCUCGACUUGAGUCACAGGAUGAAGCUUACCAAAAGGAAUUUCCACGUCCAAGGAAGGAACCAAGAUCACUGAGAGGUUAUAGUAUGAAAAGUGAAGAGAAAAAACCUAUUCUAAACAUUUUAUUAAUUGUCAAUAAUUAUUUUAAAAUAUUUAAUAUAGUCUCCUACCUGGUCCACUGGCAUCAAGCUGCCAAAUUUACACGGUCACUUUGGGAAGCCAGCUGGCAGGCAAACAUGGAAAGUGCUGGCUCCUAGCGUAGUGAGAAGACCACAGAUAGAUGGUAAUUUUCUUCUUUGUUUUAUUUUUCUUUUUCUUCUCUCCCUCUUUUUCUUCCCUCUUGCCUUUCCCUCCCAUUGCCCACUUUCUUUUUUUGGCUGCCGAAGAUUUAUUGCCUUUCAGUACUUAUAGAUGAUGUUUUCAUAAGUUCUAAUGAGGUCCCAGCAGUUUUUAACAAUAACAGGACAUUACUGUUCCUAAGAUAUAUUAUGUGUUUUCCCUCAUCUUUCUCCCUUGAAUGAAAUGCUUAGAAGUAGGCUAACCCCCAAUUCCCUUCCCUUUACUAUGAUAAAUGGCUCCAUUACUUAAUAGGGCUAAAUACUCUGCUGUGACUUUUAUACUGCUGAUUUGAAUAAAAUCUUACGAAAAGCUUUUCUCGUGU
rnacentral:lncRNA from 1 species